CAUAGAAAGACGUGACGAUAUUCCAAUAAAAGGAUUAAUACUUCAAGCAAGGAGGGCCCAGUGUGAUGUAGUAAAUCAGAAAAAACCAGUAGGAAAAUUUAACCUAGCAGGGGAAAAACUAUUGCAACUCUUCAACUGUUCAAGGGCAGACGACACCGUUGUAAAUCGGGCAUGGAUACCAAUAGAAAGAAAUAUAGAAGUUCAUUGGAGUAGCAAUAACAAAGACUUUGGACGAGUAUAUUUUAUAGCUACGAUUGUUGUUAAAGACAACAUAUACUGGACAGAUGUGACCAGCGAGAUUAUAAGACACUUGUCAGAUACCGAUGAUUCCGUAGGAGAAAUUUGCCCCUCAACUAGUAGACAAAGAGGUAGUUCUAACAGGAACAAUGCAGCUGGUAGUCUAUUGUUGUUCUCAUGUGCAAUACUUUAUUUCACUUUGUAGUUCAGAAUCCAUCUUCUGUCUGAGGCAUUGCGUCAUAACAUUGAAACGUUUACAUUUAUAUUGUAGUGGUUCGGUCAAAUUAAAAAUAUAACUUGUUUUUAAUAUUACAUGACACUGAAGCGAAAUGAUUCUGCAGAUAUUCAUAAAAUAUAAAUGUGAAUAAAAGGAGAUUCAACGUAAACAUCAACGAAACAGCAACCCACAUAACACAACUUUACCAAAGAAGAUAUGUACAGGUUAACGUAUAUGGUUUUCAACAAUUGAUAACGGUCUUCACCAUAAUAUGUCAAAAUCUAAAUGUACUGAUAUUAAAACAUCUUGUAAAAAGACUGAAAAAGAGAUUGUAUCAAAUCUGCCAUCAAACACAAUUUAUAUAAGGGACAAUAAACAGUCAGAUAUAAACAAAGACAACCAUUCACGAGGUUCCUGACUUGUGGAACAGGACAUUAAUAUAUGUGGCAGGUUAAUGCAAUUUUUUUUUGUGCAAUAACCUUCUUUUGCUGUAACUUAUAGUUUAUUGACGUUUUCAUUCAUGAUGUAUAAUACCGAUCUCAGUGUGUCAACCAAGGGGCGGAUCCAGGUUUUUCAAAGGAUUGGGCAGUCAAAAAUCAGAAAAAAAAAUGUAUCAAAAAUACCUCUUGUAAGAGGAACUGGGCUCCCUUACCCCCAGCACCAUUUCAAUCUGGAUUCGCCCCUAGCACCAAUAAUAUAAGAAUGUGUGCAUUCAACAUCGACCACAAGCCUUGAAUGAAUGUUAUAUUGUAU